rnacentral:rRNA from 1 species
GACGAACGCUGGCGGCGUGCCUAAUACAUGCAAGUAGGACGCAGUUGCGAACGGGUGAGUAACGCGUCGGUAACUGCCUAUUAGAGGGGGAUAACUAUUGGAAACGAUAGCUAAUACCGCAUACUAGUAGAUGUACCUGCGUUGUAUUAGCUAGGAGGUAGGGUAAUGGCCUACCUAGGCGACGCUACAUAGCCGACCUUAUAGGGUGAUCGGCCACACUGGGACUGAGAGACUGCCCAGACGCCUACGGGAGGCAGCAGUAGGGAAUCUGCGGCAAUGGGGGGAACCCUGACCGAGUAACGCCGCGUGAGUGAAGAAGGUUUUCGGAUCGUAAAGCUCUGUUGUUAAGGAAGCGGUACUUAACCAGAAAGGGACGGCUAACUACGUGCCAGCCGCCGCGGUAAUUC